UACGUAGGGUCCGAGCGUUGUCCGGAAUUAUUGGGCGUAAAGAGCUCGUAGGCGGUUUGUCGCGUCUGCUGUGAAAUCCCGAGGCUCAACCUCGGGUCUGCAGUGGGUACGGGCAGACUGGAGUGCGGUAGGGGAGAAUGGAAUUCCUGGUGUAGCGGUGGAAUGCGCAGAUAUCAGGAGGAACACCGAUGGCGAAGGCAGUUCUCUGGGACGGUACUGACGCUGAGACGCGAAAGCGUGGGGAGCGAACAGG
rnacentral:rRNA from 1 species